CCUACGGGUGGCAGCAGUGAGGAAUAUUGGUCAAUGGCCGGAAGGCUGAACCAGCCAUGCCGCGUGAAGGUCAGUGCCCUAUGGGCGUUAAACUUCUUUUGUGCGGGAGCAAUAAUGGUCACGUGUGGCCAGACGAGAGUACCGUACGAAUAAGCAUCGGCUAACUCCGUGCCAGCAGCCGCGGUAAUACGGGGGAUGCAAGCGUUAUCCGGAUUUAUUGGGUUUAAAGGGUGUGUAGGCUGUGAGGUAAGUCAGCGGUGAAAUGCCCCCGCUCAACGGGGUGAAGUGCCAUUGAUACUGCCUGGCUGGAAUGCGGAUGCGGUGGGAGGAAUGUGUGGUGUAGCGGUGAAAUGCAUAGAUAUCACACAGAACACCGAUUGCGAAGGCAUCUCACGAAUCCGCGAUUGACGCUGAUGCACGAAAGCGUGGGUAUCAAACAGGAUUAGAUACCCGUGUAGUC
rnacentral:rRNA from 1 species